CGGAUGGGUUGUUAGGAUGGGUUGUUAGGAUGGGUUGUUAGGAUGGGAGGUUAGGAUGGGUUGUUAGGAUGGGUUGUUAGGAUGGGUUGUUAGGAUGGGCAGUUACGGAUGGGAGGUUAGGAUGGGUUGUUAGGAUGGGUUGUUAGGAUGGGUUGUUAGGAUGGGUUGUUAGGAUGGGAGGUUAGGAUGGGAGGUUAGGAUGGGUUGUUAGGAUGGGUUGUUAGGAUGGGCAGUUAUGGAUGGGUUGUUAGGAUGGGUUGUUAGGAUGGGUUGUUAGGAUGGGCAGUUACGGAUGGGAGGUUAGGAUGGGUUGUUAGGAUGGGUUGUUAGGAUGGGUUGUUAGGAUGGGCAGUUACGGAUGGGAGGUUAGGAUGGGUUGUUAGGAUGGGUUGUUAGGAUGGAUUGUUAGGAUGGGUUGUUAGGAUGGGAGGUUAGGAUGGGUUGUUAGGAUGGGUUGUUAGGAUGGGUUGUUAGGAUGGGCAGUUACGGAUGGGUUGUUAGGAUGGGUUGUUAGGAUGGGUUGUAAGGAUGGGUUGUUAGGAUGGGUUGUUAGGAUGGGUUGUUAGGAUGGGUUGUUAGGAUGGGUUGUAAGGAUGGGUUGUUAGGAUGGGUUGUUAGGAUGGGUUGUUAGGAUGGGUUGUAAGGAUGGGUUGUUAGGAUGGGCAGUUACGGAUGGGAGGUUAGGAUGGGUUGUUAGGAUGGGUUGUUAGCAAGUGCGGGUGAACAAACAGCUGACCCAUGCACCACUAACGGACACACACGAACACUCACACAUUCUGCUGAAAUUCAAUACAUCAUGUUUUCUCUUCAUGCUUUAUUGACACCACACUCCAC
ensembl:lncRNA